UAAACUAGGAUUAGAUACCCUAUUAUUUUAAAUUUAAAUUAAAAAUACUAAAUUAGUAUUAGUUAUUUUCUUGAAAAUUAAAAAAUUUGGCGGUAUUUUAAUCUUUUCAGAGGAACCUGUCCUAUAAUUGAUAACCCACGAUUAUAAGAAUUUUAGUUUUAAGUUUACAUAUCGUCGUAGAUUGAAUAUUUUAAUAGAAAUUUUAAAUAUUCAAGAUUUUUUAUUAAAAAAUAAAUCAGAUCAAGAUGUAGCUAAUAUUAAAAGAGAGAUGGGUUACAUUGAGUUUAUUUUGAGAAUAAUUUUUUUUAAGAAUAAUUUGAAUAUGGAUUUGAUAGUAAUUUAAUAUAUUUAUUUAAGAUGAUUAUAGUUCUAAAAUAUGUACACAUCGCCCGUCGCUCUUAA
rnacentral:rRNA from 1 species